rnacentral:rRNA from 1 species
CUAGAGAUAGGGAGAUAGAAAUAAUGCACACAGGUGGUGCAUGGUUGUCGUCAGCUCGUGUCGUGAGAUGUUGGGUUAAGUCCCGCAACGAGCGCAACCCUUGUCGCAUGUUACCAGCAGUACGAUGGGGACUCAUGCGAGACUGCCGGUGAUAAACCGGAGGAAGGCGGGGAUGACGUCAAAUCAUCAUGCCCCUUAUGGCCUGGGCGACACACGUACUACAAUGGCGACUACAGAGGGAAGCGAGACAGUGAUGUUAAGCGGACCCCAAAAAGGUCGUCCCAGUUCGGAUUGAAGUCUGCAACUCGACUUCAUGAAGCCGGAAUCGCUAGUAAUCGCAGAUCAGCAUGCUGCGGUGAAUACGUUCUCGGGCCUUGUACACACCGCCCGUCAAACCAUGGGAGUCGGUAAUGCCCGAAGCCGGUGGCAUAACCUAGAAAUAGGAGUGAGCCGUCGAAGGCAGGACUGAUGACUGGGGUUAAGUCGUAACAAGGUACCCCUACGGGAACGUGCGGCU